AUUGAACGCUGGCGGCAUGCCUUACACAUGCAAGUCGAACGGAAACAGGUCUUCUGAUGCUGACGAGUGGCGAACGGGUGCGUAAUACAUCGGAACGUGCCCGAUCGUGGGGGUUAACGGAGCUCAAGCAAUGCUAAUACCUCAUACGAACUACGUAUGACAGCAGGGGACCGCAAGGACAUGCGCGGCCGGAGCGGCCGAGGGCGGGGUAGGUAGUUGGGGGGAUAAAAGCUUGGCAAGCCGACGAUUUGUCGCGUGUCCGAGAGGACGAGCCGCCACACUGGGACUGAGACACGGCCCAGACUCCUGCGGGAGGCAGCAGUGGGGAAUGGUGGACAAUGGGCGAAAGCCUGAUCCAGCCAUGCCGCGUGCAGGAUGAAGGCCUUCGGGUCGUAAAGUGCUUUUGUACGGAACGAAAAGACUCUUUCUAAUAAAGAGGGUCCAUGACGGUACCGUAAGAAGAAGCACCGGCUAACUACGUG
rnacentral:rRNA from 1 species